CGGGACGGGUGAGUAAUGUCUGGGAAACUGCCUGAUGGAGGGGAUAACUACUGGAAACGGUAGCUAAUACCGCAUAACGUCGCAAGACCAAAGAGGGGGACCUUCGGGCCUCUUGCCAUCGGAUGUGCCCAGAUGGGAUUAGCUAGUAGGUGGGGUAACGGCUCACCUAGGCGACGAUCCCUAGCUGGUCUGAGAGGAUGACCAGCCACACUGGAACUGAGACACGGUCCAG
rnacentral:rRNA from 1 species